rnacentral:rRNA from 1 species
AUUGAACGCUGGCGGCAUGCCUUACACAUGCAAGUCGAACGGCAGCACGGGUGCUUGCACCUGGUGGCGAGUGGCGAACGGGUGAGUAAUACAUCGGAACAUGUCCUGUAGUGGGGGAUAGCCCGGCGAAAGCCGGAUUAAUACCGCAUACGAUCUACGGAUGAAAGCGGGGGACCUUCGGGCCUCGCGCUAUAGGGUUGGCCGAUGGCUGAUUAGCUAGUUGGUGGGGUAAAGGCCUACCAAGGCGACGAUCAGUAGAUGGUCUGAGAGGACGACCAGCCACACUGGGACUGAGACACGGCCCAGACUCCUACGGAAGGCAGCAGUGGGGAAUUUUGGACAAUGGGCGAAAGCCUGAUCCAGCAAUGCCGCGUGUGUGAAGAAGGCCUUCGGGUUGUAAAGCACUUUUGUCCGGAAAGAAAUCCUUGGCUCUAAUACAGUCGGGGGAUGACGGUACCGGAAGAAUAAGCACCGGCUAACUACGUG